rnacentral:rRNA from 1 species
GACGAACGCUGGCGGCGCGCCUAAUACAUGCAAGUCGAACGAACAGAAGAGAGCUUUGCUCCUUUGACGUUAGCCGCACGCGGGAGUGAAACAUGAGGAACACCCCUCUAAAAGACUGGGAUAACUUCGGAAAAACGGCUAAAAUACCAGAAGAUCUCUUCAACCGCACGGUUCGAUAGUAAAAGACGAAUUUGCUGUCACUUAUAGAUGCAUCCGCGCCGCAUUAGCUAGUUGGUAAGGUCAAGGCUUACCAAGGCAACGAUGGGUAGCCGACCUGAGAGGGGGAUCGGCCACACCGGAACUGAGACACGAUCGAGACUCCUACGGGAGGCACCAGUAGGGAAUCUUCAGCAGAGGGCGAAGGGCGGACGGAGCAACGCCGCGUGAGACAUGAAGGUCUUCGGAUCGUAAAACUGUGUUAUUAGGUAAGAACAAAUGUGUAAGUAACUGUGCACGUCUAGACGGUACCUAAACAGAAAGGUACGGCUAACUUCGUG